UUUAUUUCUCACUAAGUCUUGCACCAGCUGGUAGGCAAAUUAUUUGUUAUGCUCCCUUGUCUGUUAUUUAGCAAAGUGAUAUCCUGUCUUUCUGUAGGUUUAAAGAAGACAGUGCAUGAGCUGGUGUGGGCUGCUGCUACUCCAAUACAUCAAAUGUCACCUGCAUCCAUGUCACACUUUCAUAAUGAACUUUAAAAUUAAUAAUUCACAUUUCUAUAGUGCUUUCAGGCUUUCUGUUCUUCUCACUUUCACCUUAGCCUACUGGGAUCGUACAUUUUAUGGAAACAGAUGCCAAGAAAGGUAAGUUUUUUUUCUGCCUAUGAGACUUUCAGCUAGAAAAGUUUCAGCACAGUAAAGAGUACUUCAGAAGCUAGAAAAUCAUAUGAGAGACACACCAAAGCAAACAUAGUAGCUAAAAUGAUAAAUAUUGCUGGAGUUUGUAGUUUCUUCUUAACUAUUAGUAGAAAGGUCUACUAUGAUCCAUGAAGGGCUUUAUGGUUGUAAGAAAUUUUAGCCAGGGCUUUGAAAUUGGAGACAGGUGGACUGAUGGGGAGGAGAGAGACAGAGAAUUCUGGAAACACAGAAAAAGAGAGGAAUGAGAUCAGAGAAAGGAUGCCCUUGUGUGAAUGGCCCAAUAAAAAUGAGGGUAUUGAUGCUUCA
rnacentral:lncRNA from 1 species